rnacentral:rRNA from 1 species
AUCUUUUCCUUCGGGGACAGAGGAGACAGGUGGUGCAUGGUUGUCGUCAGCUCGUGUCGUGANAUGUUGGGUUAAGUCCCGCAACGAGCGCAACCCUUGAUCUUAGUUGCCAGCACGCAGAGGUGGGCACUCUAAGAUGACUGCCGGUGACAAACCGGAGGAAGGUGGGGAUGACGUCAAAUCAUCAUGCCCCUUAUGGCCUGGGCUACACACGUACUACAAUGGUCGGUACAACGGGAAGCGAAGGAGCGAUCCGGAGCCAAUCCUCAAAAGCCGAUCUCAGUUCGGAUUGCAGGCUGCAACUCGCCUGCAUGAAGUCGGAAUUGCUAGUAAUCGCGGAUCAGCAUGCCGC